rnacentral:rRNA from 1 species
UACGUAGGGGGCUAGCGUUGUCCGGAUUUAUUGGGCGUAAAGAGCGUGUAGGCGGCCAGGUAGGUCUGGUGUGAAAACCCAGGGCUCAACCCUGGGCCUGCAGUCGAUACGGGCAGGCUAGAGUGCAGUAGGGGAGACUGGAAUUCCUGGUGUAGCGGUGAAAUGCGCAGAUAUCAGGAGGAACACCGGUGGCGAAGGCGGGUCUCUGGGCUGUAACUGACGCUGAGGAGCGAAAGCGUGGGGAGCGAACAGG